CUUCCGGUUUAUGGCCCAAAAGGCCGGCUGGUCCGGAGUCGUACGGGCGAGACGCAAGGAGGCGUAACUAAGAUGGGCGCGCGCGUUGAAAAGGGAGCCUGGAGCCAGCUCGGAGACCGGACCCGGUGUUUUCAAGUCAUUUUGGAAUUCACUAAAAGCAACAAGUGCAGUUUUCUGUGGCUUUCCACACCUGCAAUGUUCUUUCUGGAGCCAGACAGCAGGCCACCAUUGAUUAGCGUUGGAAUGCAAACUUCUGUAUGUGGUCCCUAAUGUCAGUAGAAGGCGUUAGAUCACCUGGAACUGGAGUCGCAGGCAGUUAAAAGCAGCCUGACAUGGUACUAAGACUUGAACUCAGUCCUGUGGAAGAGCCUUUGACCAUGAAGCCAUCUCAACCC